rnacentral:rRNA from 1 species
CCUACGGGAGGCAGCAGUGAGGAAUAUUGGUCAAUGGACGAGAGUCUGAACCAGCCAAGUAGCGUGAAGGAUGACUGCCCUAUGGGUUGUAAACUUCUUUUAUAUGGGAAUAAAACGUUCCACGUGUGGGAUUUUGUAUGUACUAUAUGAAUAAGGAUCGGCUAACUCCGUGCCAGCAGCCGCGGUAAUACGGAGGAUCCGAGCGUUAUCCGGAUUUAUUGGGUUUAAAGGGAGCGUAGAUGGGUUGUUAAGUCAGUUGUGAAAGUUUGCGGCUCAACCGUAAAAUUGCAGUUGAUACUGGCAGUCUUGAGUACAGUAGAGGUAGGCGGAAUUCGUGGUGUAGCGGUGAAAUGCUUAGAUAUCACGAAGAACUCCGAUUGCGAAGGCAGUUCACUGAACUGCAACUGACACUGAGGCUCGAAAGUGUGGGUAUCAAACAGGAUUAGAUACCCGAGUAGUC